rnacentral:rRNA from 1 species
GAUGAACGCUGGCGGCGUGCCUAAUACAUGCAAGUCGAGCGAACGGACGAGAAGCUUGCUUCUCUGAUGUUAGCGGCGGACGGGUGAGUAACACGUGGAUAACCUACCUAUAAGACUGGGAUAACUUCGGGAAACCGGAGCUAAUACCGGAUAAUAUUUUGAACCGCAUGGUUCAAAAGUGAAAGACGGUCUUGCUGUCACUUAUAGAUGGAUCCGCGCUGCAUUAGCUAGUUGGUAAGGUAACGGCUUACCAAGGCAACGAUGCAUAGCCGACCUGAGAGGGUGAUCGGCCACACUGGAACUGAGACACGGUCCAGACUCCUACGGGAGGCAGCAGUAGGGAAUCUUCCGCAAUGGGCGAAAGCCUGACGGAGCAACGCCGCGUGAGUGAUGAAGGUCUUCGGAUCGUAAAACUCUGUUAUCAGGGAAGAACAUAUGUGUAAGUAACUGUGCACAUCUUGACGGUACCUAAUCAGAAAGCCACGGCUAACUACGUGCCAGCAGCCGCGGUAAUACGUAGGUGGCAAGCGUUAUCCGGAAUUAUUGGGCGUAAAGCGCGCGUAGGCGGUUUUUUAAGUCUGAUGUGAAAGCCCACGGCUCAACCGUGGAGGGUCAUUGGAAACUGGAAAACUUGAGUGCAGAAGAGGAAAGUGGAAUUCCAUGCGUAGCGGUGAAAUGCGCAGAGAUAUGGAGGAACACCAGUGGCGAAGGCGACUUUCUGGUCUGUAACUGACGCUGAUGUGCGAAAGCGUGGGGAUCAAACAGGAUUAGAUACCCUGGUAGUCCACGCCGUAAACGAUGAGUGCUAAGUGUUAGGGGGUUUCCGCCCCUUAGUGCUGCAGCUAACGCAUUAAGCACUCCGCCUGGGGAGUACGACCGCAAGGUUGAAACUCAAAGGAAUUGACGGGGACCCGCACAAGCGGUGGAGCAUGUGGUUUAAUUCGAAGCAACGCGAAGAACCUUACCAAAUCUUGACAUCCUUUGACAACUCUAGAGAUAGAGCUUUCCCCUUCGGGGGACAAAGUGACAGGUGGUGCAUGGUUGUCGUCAGCUCGUGUCGUGAGAUGUUGGGUUAAGUCCCGCAACGAGCGCAACCCUUAAGCUUAGUUGCCAUCAUUAAGUUGGGCACUCUAAGUUGACUGCCGGUGACAAACCGGAGGAAGGUGGGGAUGACGUCAAAUCAUCAUGCCCCUUAUGAUUUGGGCUACACACGUGCUACAAUGGACAAUACAAAGGGCAGCGAAACCGCGAGGUCAAGCAAAUCCCAUAAAGUUGUUCUCAGUUCGGAUUGUAGUCUGCAACUCGACUACAUGAAGCUGGAAUCGCUAGUAAUCGUAGAUCAGCAUGCUACGGUGAAUACGUUCCCGGGUCU